CUGUGAUGAAUCUUCUCUAAUUACUGCCA
rnacentral:piRNA from 1 species